rnacentral:rRNA from 1 species
AAAGGAAUAGACGGGGACCCGCACAAGCGGUGGAGCAUGUGGUUUAAUUCGAAGCAACGCGAAGAACCUUACCAAAUCUUGACAUCCUCUGACAACUGUAGAGAUACAGCUUCCCUUCGGGGCAGAGUGACAGGUGGUGCAUGGUUGUCGUCAGCUCGUGUCGUGAGAUGUUGGGUUAAGUCCCGCAACGAGCGCAACCCUUAAGUUUAGUUGCCAUCAUUAAGUUGGGCACUCUAGACUGACUGCCGGUGACAAACCGGAGGAAGGUGGGGACGACGUCAAAUCAUCAUGCCCCUUAUGAUUUGGGCUACACACGUGCUACAAUGGACAGGUUACAAAGGGCAGCAACGCCGCGAGGCCAAGCGAAUCCCAUAAAACUGUUCUCAGUUCGGAUUGGAGUCUGCAACUCGACUCCAUGAAGCUGGAAUCGCUAGUAAUCGUAGAUCAGCAUGCUACGGUGAAUACGUUCCCGGGUCUUGUACACACCGCCCGU